UACGGAGGAUCCGAGCGUUAUCCGGAAUUAUUGGGUUUAAAGGGUGCGUAGGCGGCCAUUUAAGUCAGCGGUGAAAUUUUGCAGCUUAACUGUAACAGUGCCGUUGAUACUGUUUGGCUAGGAUUUGGUUGUAGUGUGUGGAAUGUGUGGUGUAGCGGUGAAAUGCUUAGAUAUCACACAGAACACCGAUUGCGAAGGCAGCACACUAAGUCAUUAUUGACGCUGAGGCACGAAAGUGUGGGGAUCAAACAGGAUUAGA
rnacentral:rRNA from 1 species